UACGUAGGGCGCAAGCGUUGUCCGGAAUUAUUGGGCGUAAAGAGCUCGUAGGCGGUUUGUCGCGUCUGCUGUGAAAACCUGAGGCUCAACCUCGGGCUUGCAGUGGGUACGGGCAGACUAGAGUGCGGUAGGGGUGACUGGAAUUCCUGGUGUAGCGGUGGAAUGCGCAGAUAUCAGGAGGAACACCGGUGGCGAAGGCGGGUCUCUGGGCCAUAACUGACGCUGAGAAGCGAAAGCAUGGGGAGCGAACAGG
rnacentral:rRNA from 1 species